GACGUAGGGGGCAAGCGUUAUUCGGAAUCAUUGGGCGUAAAGCGCUCGUAGGCGGGAAGGCAAGUCCGUGUUGAAAGACCUCGGCUCAACUGAGGGACCGGCUCGGAUACUGCUUUUCUUGAGGCAAUCAGAGGGUAAUGGAAUUCCCGGUGUAGCGGUGAAAUGCGUAGAUAUCAGGAGGAACACCGGUGGCGAAGGCGGGUCUCUGGGCAGUAACUGACGCUGAGGAGCGAAAGCGUGGGGAGCGAACAGG
rnacentral:rRNA from 1 species